rnacentral:lncRNA from 1 species
UCGUCAAGGAGCGCGGUAGGGCUGCCUCCGGCGGGAUCCGGGUCGAGGUAGCCUGCGGUUGCCUCCUCGAUGCUCUUUUUUCUUUCUUUUCUCUAGGAAGGUAACCAUGUGUUUGGAACAAACAUAUGAGGAUUCUGAAUCUGAAGAAAAAAGGAAACAUAUCAGGAUACAACACCACAUGUGGGUCUUUUCUGAAAAGACCCAGCGCACAGAAGAACGAGGGAACCGCAAAUUCAUCUGCCGCAGGCAACGAACCUUCUACGUUGGGCUGCAACAGAUGGGGAUCCACCCCGUGCCAGCAUCAGCUUCUUCACCCGACGAAGCCAACCAAGUGCACCAGCGCCGCCAACACCAACCGCCAAACCUGCCCCGAGUCAACAAUCUUGCCGCUGCCCACUCCUGCAUAGGAUUGGAAGGACUGGAGAAGAGGAUGAGAUGGAAGAAAAGCUGACGGCAUUAUGAGGAAUAACCGAGGGGCGAGAGACUGGAUAAGCCAAUCGCACCACCACGAAACCUUCCUCCAGCAUUCUUGUAGUAGAAGAACAAACUGUUGCUAUAGGGAUUCAGAGGGCGCCGGCAACAGUUCAUAUACACGCUGAGGAUCAUGGCGACCAGAGUCGACAUGACCUUUCUUUUUUCUGAAUAAAUACGUACACCCGUAGGCAUAUGCUUAUCUGUAUUUGAAUGAGUAGGCAUAUACGGACGCCGCAUGCCAGAAAAACAAGACCAGCUCGGCAUCUCCACCCCGCCGACGAACGCAGCGAACUCGCGGGACCCAGGCAACCAGAUCUGCGAGACCAAGAAGCCUCAAACCCCUCACCGUCCGGUUGGAGAUCCGGGGUCCCCCACCUCUCCAGCAGACAGAGCGGGACCACAGGUAUCGACGGCGGGAUCUGGAGUUCGCUUGAAGGUCGCCCUCUGUAUUGUUGGGGAGAAAAGAGAGGACGGUUCCAGAAGUUCGCAUGAACUUUCUAGAAGAGAUGACGGGGAGUGCUGCGCACCAGCGGUCCAGAAGGACGACGGAGCUAUGAGCCUGUGACUGCAGAACAUUAGUGUUAUCUAAGCCGUUCGUUUCAGAUCCGAUGGUUGAGAUGGUCAGGAG